UGGAGUUUAGGGUGCAAGAUGACUAUUAGGGAUUGAUACUUGUGGAAGGAAGGGGAAGGAGCAGGAUUGGGCUAAUAUGAUCAACCAUUCUGGUUUGCCUGGAAUGAGGGAUUCUUGGCACAUAGGACUUUUGGUGCUACAGCCAAGACAGUCCUGGAAAAACUGGGAUAGUUAGUCACUCUAGCGGAGGCAGAAGUUGAAAUGCUACUCAGGCUCAUCACAGGUUCUGCCACCCAGGCAGGGAGCCCUGUUGCGACUGUUACCCAUCAGAAUUGUUCCAUGUUGGGCCAAGAUGGCUGGGCCUUUACUCCUUGCCUCUCUGUCACCCAAUGUAGGCUGCCCUGGGAAGGCCCUGACCUUGAGCCAAAUAGCUGAGCUGACCCCGAAGGUACUGACAGGUGAAGGCAGCUGGACAGAAAGUCCUUUUAAGGACAGUGACUCUCCACGUCUACCACAGGCAUCAUUUUGUCCCUCAGUUUCCUUCAUCUGCAAAAUGGGGAUAACAAUGAUAAAAGCAUGGACUCUGAAACUGGGCUCUGUCACUAUAGAGCUGUGUGACCUUGAGCAAAGGACUCAAUCUCUCAGUCUUCUUAUCAGUAAUAUGGUGAUAAAUGGCACCUAAUUCAUAAGGUUAUCUUCUCAUGAAAAGCAAACACAAAUUCAGGUGUGUUGUCUUCAUUGAAAGUCAUUCUGAACUCCACU